GUUGCGGGUGGUUCGGUUUUGGCUGCGUCGCGCUCUGAAAAACCGUCUGUGCGCUGCGCUGCGUUGUAUGAGAAAUCCUGAGUUGAUUUAUUUUGGACUUGAAGUGUCUUCAAGCGACGAUAGACAACGAGACAACUUUCGUCUUUUUCGGCCUUAACUGACGGCGCGCCAUUGCAACGCUGUAUGUGUGCUUGCCUUGUGUGUGAGUAAGUGAGUGUGUGUGUUUGUGUGUGCAUGAGCGCGCGUGUGUUGGCGUAGCGCCACUGUACGCUCGAGUGUUUGUCUCGCAGCGCUCAUCGGUGUUGGUACACCGUUCAAGUGGCGGAAGUAAAAAUUGUUGCAGUUUUCUUACACAAGUUUUUUAAUUGUCUUGCUGCCGUUGCAGUUGUGUGGGUGUUUAUGUCGCUGAGCGCCGCUUUUCAUGAACGGAAAUACAAUUGAUAAUUAUAAUUAGUGUGAAAAAACGUGGAGAGUGUCUGCAAUUCGAACAAUAAAGCGUGAAUUAUUGCACCGUUAAGGAAGUGUAUUACAGUUAUAAUUACGUGCAUGUGUGUGUAAUUCAAUUUGAUUGCGCACUAAAUAAAUUCAUGAAGUGAUUAUCGCUUGGAAGCAUAAACUUGUGCAUUGUGUGAGAGAAAAUAAUAUACAAUUUGACCAUUUCAAGGAUAAACAGAACGCCAACAGCAACAACACAGGCGUACAAACGCCAGCAGUCAAAGCACCGAGCAAGGGCAAGGACAGCAGC
rnacentral:misc_RNA from 1 species